ACAGAAAGUGCUAAAACUAUCCUGGCAGUAUUCAGAAUGAUGGCUGGAGAGGACUCAAAUAGGUCAAGAAAAUUAAGUCCUAAAAGUAUUUUUCAAUAUUAAACUAUCUUGAUCUGUUUUUUUCAAACCUGCCAUCUAGUAUGAUAAGAUUUUAUUAUUUAAUAUGCACAGGUCUAAUCGUAGGCCUGAUGAGGAAAUAACAACAAUCUGCUUCAAAACAAAUCCAGAUCAUAACCCUCCAUCUACCCUGGUUUACUUUUUUUGUUCCAUUCAUUCUCUGCCUCACCACCUUUCUAUCCCUUGACAUAGUAGAAUCACAUAUAUUGUUAUGUUGGGAUUAAAUAUAUUUUAACAUUUCAUGUUAAGAAAAAAUCCACUCUUUUUGCAUAGCAUUUGAGCAAGGUGUUUAAGAAAAGAGUCAAAGACAAAAAUUGUAAACAGAAUUAAAUCUUUUUCUGUAAUUAUUAUACACAAUUUAUGAAAGACUUAAACUGAAGGCACGGAUUUUGAUCACAUGAUGUUUACCCCAGAUUUAUAGAACUCAAAUCCUGAGAUUUUCAUCUUAAUCUUCAAUAAGAGAUUAAUACUGGUGAGAAUACAUUACAAAACGUCUUGUGUGUCCAAGCUGUCUGCAUUCGUAAACAAAAUCGGAUCAAAAUAACAGUCAUUUUAGAGGUAAUACAAGUUUGAAAUGGUUCUGAAGUUAGGCACCUAUCAAGAGACUUGCACUAGUUCAUUUAUUUGAAAACACAUAUUAUUAUUCAAAACAGUAUGCAAAAUUUUAUCUGCCUCUGAGGUAACAUGGCAUCUGAACAGUUGCCCUUAUUCAACAUAAUUUCACCUUUUCUAAGUAAUACCACCUUCCUUAAGGGCUUUUCAAACAAGAGUAAACCCAUCCUUAAAGCUACAAUAAACGAUAUAGACUCUUAUAAAUCUAGAGCAAUGUAAAAAAUGUAACAAUGUAAAAAUGUAACAAUGUAGCAAUGUAAAAGUCAGGGGAAACAAGAGACAACUGCUAAAUCCAUCCAAUAGUUUUGAUAAAAAUUUCUGAUAUAUUCUCUACAGGCGUGCCAGUUCUUUUAUAUGCAGAAAACCACAGUUUCAGGACUUACAUGAUCUUAAGACUUUCAUAGAAUUGUAACUAUGGGAUAUGACUGGAUUAGUAUGAUGGCAGAACCUUCUUUUAGCUCUAAAGCUAAAAGCGAGAUUUCUUUUUCCUUUAAAUUGUUUAUUUCUUCGCCUUUCUUUUUCUCAUUCUAAAUCUCUGCCCAAUCUAGAGGAAGGAUCCACAAACAAGAAUAUGGGGCUAAUGUGACCUAAUUCAUUUUUUGGCUACACAGGCUUACAACUGUGAAGUGAAUGGUUUUAUAAUGAUAUCUGGAACAAGAACAACAAAGUACUUAAGCUUGCAAACACUAGGAAAAAAAAA
rnacentral:lncRNA from 1 species